rnacentral:rRNA from 1 species
GGAUUAGUCUCGUAGUGACCUGCGGAGGGAUCAUUACACAAAUAUGAAGGCGGGCUGGAACCUCUCGGGGUUACAGCCUUGCUGAAUUAUUCACCCUUGUCUUUUGCGUACUUCUUGUUUCCUUGGUGGGUUCGCCCACCACUAGGACAAACAUAAACCUUUUGUAAUUGCAAUCAGCGUCAGUAACAAAUUAAUAAUUACAACUUUCAACAACGGAUCUCUUGGUUCUGGCAUCGAUGAAGAACGCAGCGAAAUGCGAUAAGUAGUGUGAAUUGCAGAAUUCAGUGAAUCAUCGAAUCUUUGAACGCACAUUGCGCCCUUUGGUAUUCCAAAGGGCAUGCCUGUUCGAGCGUCAUUUGUACCCUCAAGCUUUGCUUGGUGUUGGGCGUCUUGUCUCUAGCUUUGCUGGAGACUCGCCUUAAAGUAAUUGGCAGCCGGCCUACUGGUUUCGGAGCGCAGCACAAGUCGCACUCUCUAUCAGCAAAGGUCUAGCAUCCAUUAAGCCUUUUUUUCAACUUUUGACCUCGGAUCAGGUAGGGAUACCCGCUGAACUUAAGCAUAUCAAUAAGCGGAGGAA